UGGAUCCAGACUUUAUUAUGGCUCAGGAUGAACGCUAGCUACAGGCUUAACACAUGCAAGUCGAGGGGAAACGACAUCGAAAGCUUGCUUUUGAUGGGCGUCGACCGGCGCACGGGUGAGUAACGCGUAUCCAACCUGCCCACCACUUGGGGAUAACCUUGCGAAAGUAAGACUAAUACCCUAUGAUAUCUCUAGAAGACAUCUGAAAGAGAUUAAAGAUUUAUCGGUGAUGGAUGGGGAUGCGUCUGAUUAGCUUGUUGGCGGGGUAACGGCCCACCAAGGCAACGAUCAGUAGGGGUUCUGAGAGGAAGGUCCCCCACAUUGGAACUGAGACACGGUCCAAACUCCUACGGGAGGCAGCAGUGAGGAAUAUUGGUCAAUGGACGAGAGUCUGAACCAGCCAAGUAGCGUGCAGGAUGACGGCCCUAUGGGUUGUAAACUGCUUUUAUAAGGGAAUAAAGUGAGUCUCGUGAGACUUUUUGCAUGUACCUUAUGAAUAAGGACCGGCUAAUUCCGUGCCAGCAGCCGCGGUAAUACGGAAGGUCCGGGCGUUAUCCGGAUUUAUUGGGUUUAAAGGGAGCGUAGGCCGGAGAUUAGGCGUGUUGUGAAAUGUAGACGCUCAACGUCUGCACUGCAGCGCGAACUGGUUUCCUUGAGUACGCACAAAGUGGGCGGAAUUCGUGGUGUAGCGGUGAAAUGCUUAGAUAUCACGAAGAACUCCGAUUGCGAAGGCAGCUCACUGGAGCGCAACUGACGCUGAAGCUCGAAAGUGCGGGUAUCGAACAGGAUUAGAUACCCUGGUAGUCCGCACGGUAAACGAUGGAUGCCCGCUGUUGGUCUGAAUAGGUCAGCGGCCAAGCGAAAGCAUUAAGCAUCCCACCUGGGGAGUACGCCGGCAACGGUGCAACUCAAAUGAAUUGACGGA
rnacentral:rRNA from 2 species